CACUAGGGAAUGCAGGCUAAGUUCGUGCCGUCCUGGCGGCAGGCUCAAAGCGCAACUUCCUAACUUCCUGUUGCUUCACCUACACUAGUACUUCCUGGGGUACGUCGCAACGCCUGCAUGACCCACAUCCUCUAGG
rnacentral:sRNA from 1 species